CCGACCAUAGCUCAGUUGGAAGAGCACAAGACUGUAAUGGAAGCUCUCAUCUUGGGGUCGCCUGUUCGAACCAGGCUGGUCGGA
rfam:Gymnopus luxurians FD-317 M1 unplaced genomic scaffold GYMLTscaffold_67, whole genome shotgun sequence.